GGCUCGGUAGUGGACGGUCCACGCUCACAUCUGGUAACCAACGGUGGACAGUGCAGUGAGAGACGCCUGUUCGAGUCGGGUUCGAGCCA